ACAGGCUUAACACAUGCAAGUCGAGGGGCAGCAUGGAACUUAGCUUGCUAAGUUCGAUGGCGACCGGCGCACGGGUGAGUAACACGUAUCCAACCUACCGUUUACUACGGGAUAGCCUUCUGAAAAGGAGAUUAAUACCGUAUGGUAUUCUAAAGUUUCAUGACAUUAGAAUUAAAGGUUUACCGGUAAUCGAUGGGGAUGCGUUCCAUUAGAUAGUAGGCGGGGUAACGGCCCACCAAGUCAGCGAUGGAUAGGGGUUCUGAGAGGAAGGUCCCCCACAUUGGAACUGAGACACGGUCCAAACUCCUACGGGAGGCAGCAGUGAGGAAUAUUGGUCAAUGGGCGCGAGCCUGAACCAGCCAAGUAGCGUGAAGGAUGACGG
rnacentral:rRNA from 1 species